rnacentral:sRNA from 1 species
UUUUCGUCGGCACGAGAUCUGAUCACCGACACACAAGGGAUACAGAGAGAGAGAGAGAGAGAGAGAGAGAGAGACGAAGAAGUAGUGAAAAUGAAAGGAGAGAGAGAG